UGCGUAGGCGGAUAAAUAAGUCAGUGGUGAAAUCUUUCGGCUCAACCGGGAAACUGCCAUUGAUACUGUUUAUCUUGAGUUCGGUAGAGGUAGGCGGAAUGUGUAAUGUAGCGGUGAAAUGCUUAGAUAUUACACAGAACACCAAUUGCGUAGGCAGCUUACUGUGCCGACACUGACGCUGAGGCACGAAAGCGUGGGGAGCGAACAGGAUUAGAUACCCUGGUAGUCC
rnacentral:rRNA from 1 species